UCCCGUCAGAGGGGGACAUGCGCAGUGAGUGCCUCCCGUCUCUUCUACCCGAACCCCCCCUCCCCCCCCAAGCAGAGAGACCCCAGCAGCAGCAGCAGCUGAUGAUGAAGAGAGAGGCAGUGGCAGAGGGGGGGCACCUUUUAUUUCUAUUUUUAAAGGGACAGGACACUAAUUUUACCCCACUUCAACCUUGAAUCGAGGAGGGUGGGGGGGAAGGCGGCUGAGUUCCUUCCCCCACCCUCAAGCCCUGAGACCUGAGAAGGGGAUUGAGCCUAAGAGAGAAGGAGAAGGAGUUUCUUAUUCUUCGAAAACCCCCAUCCACGACUCCUACCCCCUCACCCCUCCACGAGCCUCCCUCCCGACCCCCCACCCUCCUCCUCUCUGGCCGUGCGGGGAUAGAAAGCGCCCAGAGCCUCUUAGCAACACAGCCCUGCUCUGCCGCCGCUGCUUGGCCCUGGCUGGAGACGUCUCACUACACCCGGGAGCAGCCGCUGCCCCAGCGCUCCGCCGCCGCCGCCUCCACUCCCCCCUUUAUUACCCUUUGUGUCAUCCUCCUCAGCUCCGGGGAAGGCACUCAAAAGUGGGGGGCAGGAAAGCAAAUACGCACAAGAGAAGCUGAAAAAAAAGGCAAUUCUAGAAUGUGAAAGCAUCUUUGGAGAUCAUGAUGAAAAGAUGCUUCUUGAAUAUCCCAGUUUCUUCAUGUGGAAAGUAGAUAUUGAAGGUUAUAUGGUUUACAGACAAGAUCUUUAAAAGAUAGACACUCAAGGACCAAGAAAAUAAAUACCAGAAGCCAAGAGCACAGAUUUUCCUUUGUCGAUCCGUAGAACCCCGAUACUUCUCUAAUUCCAUCAAUCACAAAGGGAUGACCACCUUGACAGAUGGCCACAGAGGAUGUCAGCAAUUUUUCGGAG